GCUUGUCUCAAAGAUUAAGCCAUGCAUGUCUUAGUGUAAAUAACUCUUAUGAAACUGCGAAUGGCUCAUUAAAUCAGUUAUCGUUUAUUUGAUGGUCCCUUACUACAUGGAUAACCGUAGUAAUUCUAGAGCUAAUACAUGCGUCAAAACCCGACUCCUGGGAGGGUUGUAUUUAUUAGAUGGAAACCAAUGCGGGGCAACCCGGAAUAUGGUGAAUCAUAAUAACUGUCGUAUCGAGCAAUCGAAGCGCCAUACAAGUUUCUGCCCUAUCAGCUUUGGAUGGUAGGGUAUUGGCCUACCAUGGCUUUAACGGGUAACGGAGAAUUAGGGUUCGAUUCCGGAGAGGGAGCCUGAGAAACGGCUACCACAUCCAAGGAAGGCAGCAGG
rnacentral:rRNA from 1 species